UGGGGUGAUAUCCUGGAAAGCAAGCUGGUUUAGGUCCCAGGGUGCAAUCAUUCUGGCUUGCAGGAUGGGUGAGAGGAACAGAUAUGCUGCAUGGAGGGUGACAAAAAUGAAGUACGCUGAGGUGAAGUCACUUGCUCAAGGUCACACAGCAGGCCCCUGGAGGAGGCGGAAUUGGAACCAGGUUAGGGUGAACAGUGUCUUCUUGGCCACACUGAGCAUGAAGCAGCAGAAAGUCACCUAAGAACACUGGGUGGCUUCUCCCCUUAGCACGUGACUUUGCAGUUCCAAAAAUCCCGGGAAAGCCAGAGGGGGUGCACUGUACCACUGGUCUAAUUCUGAAGACCGUGAACGGGAGAAGGAUAAUAAGGAACUUAGGGGAAACUAAAAGCACAAAGUAACCUCAAGAAAAAUUGGCCCAGAUGGACAAAUUCCCUAAGCAUCUUUCACUACUCUGAAGUCCUAGGAGCCAGCUUUAAAACCCUCUGUCAGGGUUACUUCAACAGCAACUUGUAGAGAGGGAAAAGGCUAGAAAUUUUCUGCACCCUCUGGGUUUUGUUGAUUAGUAAAGCUGGGAGAACAGCCACUGCUGCCUCCCAGGGCUGUUGUUCAAACUGUCACAAAUACAAGAAGGGCCGCCACAGGGGAAGGCCUUGGUUUCAGUGUGACCCCCCGGCCGCUGUGAGCACAGCCAAGGCCGUGGCUCUUCUCUCUGGGUCACUUGAUUGGCAUGUGAUCAUGAUGCUGGCAGCCCAAGGGCUGGAGCCAUUCACUGAAGGUUGCUAGACAAUGAAUUAUUUCACAAACACUGAAAUCUAAAAAGUAUUCAGAGCCAUCCAAGUAUGAAGACAUUACUAAUAUAUGCUUUUCUCAAGGGAAAGCGACUUCAACAAGAAAAAAAAUACACGUCCCAC
rnacentral:lncRNA from 1 species